rnacentral:pre_miRNA from 12 species
GUUUUUGUAUUAUAAGUUUUUGCUCAUGCACCGUGGUUGUCUAAGCAUGCAGCAUGCUUGGCUGCUCACACCCCGUAUUUCCUGAGAAGGAACUUUAUUGCCUACUGCU